rnacentral:rRNA from 1 species
ACUCAAAGGAAUAGACGGGGACCCGCACAAGCAGCGGAGCGUGUGGUUUAAUUCGAUGCAACGCGAAGAACCUUACCAGGAUUUGACAUCUCCGUGCACCAUCCGUUAUGGGAUGUGCCCGCAAGGGACACGGAGACAGGUGCUGCAUGGCUGUCGUCAGCUCGUGUCGUGAGAUGUUGGGUUAAGUCCCGCAACGAGCGCAACCCCCAUCACUAGUUGCAAGUUUCUAGUGAGACUGCCACUCUCAAAGUGGAGGAAGGCGGGGAUGACGUCAAGUCAGCACGGCCCUUACAUGCUGGGCGACACACACGCUACAAUGGUCGGGACAAAGGGCAGCCAACCCGCGAGGGGGAGCUAAUCCCAUCAAAGCCGAUCUCAGUUCAGAUUGCAGGCUGCAACCCGCCUGCAUGAAGUCGGAGUUGCUAGUAACCGUAGGUCAGCACACUACGGUGAAUACGUUCCCGGGUCUUGCACACACCGCCCGU